GAAAUUCGGAUUAAUACUCCAUAAUAUUCAGAAUUGGCAUCUUUUCUGAAUCAAAGCUCCGGCGGUUAGGGAUGGGCAUGCGUGACAUUAGUUUGUUGGUGAGGUAACGGCUCACCAAGACUGCGAUGUCUAGGGGGUCUGAGAGGAUGGUCCCCCACACUGGUACUGAGACACGGACCAGACUCCUACGGGAGGCAGCAGUGAGGAAUAUUGGGCAAUGGACGAAAGUCUGACCCAGCCAUGCCGCGUGCAGGAUGACGGCCCUACGGGUUGUAAACUGCUUUUGUACAAGAAGAAACUUUUGUUCGUGAACAAACUUGACGGUAUUGUACGAAUAAGCAUCGGCUAACUCCGUGCCAGCAGCCGCGGUAAUACGGAGGAUGCAAGCGUUAUCCGGAUUUAUUGGGUUUGAAGGGUGCGUAGGCGGGACGGUAAGUCAGAGGUGAAAUCUUCCAGCUUAACUGGNAACUGUCCUUUGAUCUGUCGUCCUU
rnacentral:rRNA from 1 species